rnacentral:rRNA from 1 species
UACGUAGGUGGCAAGCGUUGUCCGGAUUUACUGGGCGUAAAGGGCGCGUAGGCGGCGUGACAAGUCACUUGUGAAAUCUCCGGGCUUAACUCGGAACGGUCAAGUGAUACUGUCGUGCUAGAGUACAGAAGGGGCAACUGGAAUUCUCGGUGUAGCGGUGAAAUGCGUAGAUAUCUGGAGGAAUACCGGUGGCGAAGGCGGCAUCCUGGACCGGCAUUGACGCUGAGGAGCGAAAGCCAGGGGAGCAAACGGG